ACGCACGCUGGCGGCGUGCUUCACACAUGCAAGUCGAACGGAAAGGCCUCUUUCGGGGGGUACUCGAGUGGCGAACGGGUGAGUAACACGUGAGUAACCUGCCCUUGACUUUGGGAUAACUUCAGGAAACUGGGGCUAAUACCGGAUAGGAGCUCCUGCUGCAUGGUGGGGGUUGGAAAGUUUCGGCGGUUGGGGAUGGACUCGCGGCUUAUCAGCUUGUUGGUGGGGUAGUGGCUUACCAAGGCUUUGACGGGUAGCCGGCCUGAGAGGGUGACCGGCCACAUUGGGACUGAGAUACGGCCCAGACUCCUACGGGAGGCAGCAGUGGGGAAUAUUGCACAAUGGGUGGAAGCCUGAUGCAGCAACGCCGUGUGCGGGAUGACGGCCUUCGGGUUGUAAACCGCUUUCGCUCAUGACGAAGCUUUGUGUGACGGUAGUGGGUAAAGAAGCACCGGCUAACUACGUG
rnacentral:rRNA from 1 species